rnacentral:lncRNA from 1 species
AAGAAAACCUGACUUCCGGAUAAACAAACGAUUAAAUGACAAUUGAAUCUCGAUAUCCAGUCAUACUGAUACGUUUUUCAAAGAAUUUGGAUCACAGUUCUCAAUAACUUGUAUAUAAGUCGAUAUGAAUUCGCUUGUGGGAUACGGGGUUUCAUCCGAGUCAGAGGAUGAAGAGAAAGGAGAAGACAAUACGAAGGAGUCCUUCAAGAAGACAGAAUGCACUGUAGAGAAGACGAAAAGCCGUAAUUUCCUGUUGGAGUCGGAAUCGCUUUCCAGUGAGUCUGAAUCUGGUCCAGAGAAUGAGGAUCAAGAGGAGCCGCCCAAUGCUGAUCGCUCCAUUUCCGAGCCCUCGCCACUCCUCUCCGUCCGUCCUCACACUCACAAGCUCCCUCCUCCACCUCUGGGAGGAUCCAGCUCGGGUGGAGCGCUUACAGGCAGCAGUGUGUUUGCUAAUCCAUUCAAAGAGCUGGCUGAGGAGAGACUGAAUGUCCUACAGAAACAUGUACCUCUUACUUUACAAGCGCGCCCCGCCCAGAUUGACGGUAAGCGCAUUUGUGUGGCCUACAGGAAGGAUGGCCGCUGCCGCUUUGGAAGCCGCUGCAAGUUCGCACAUGACAGCGAUCUGCAGAGUAACCGUGCGGUCACCUCUGACAGUGGACCAAAAGACAAUGUUACAGUUUCACACGAUGGUCCGCUGGCUUCUUGUGAGGAAGACGCAGAGACAGAUGGAGAGAAAGACAAUGAACAGCGAAAGAAGAGACGAGUGGGGCUGAAUGAUUCUCUCAUUCCACCAAAACGUGCACUCAAGCAGUAUGCCAGACUCUCACAACCAUAAAAGUUCAAAACUUUCUGUCUGUAUGACAUAAUUUGGGUAACAACUUACUUUUAUGUGAAAAACAUCCACGACGACGUGUUAUAUGUAUUAAAUUAAUAUGCUACUGAUGAGAUUGUGAUAAUUAGUCUGUAAAAUGUGUUACAGAUUUUCUCCAGAGGUUUUUGUUUUGUAGACAAAGGCGAUGUGAUCAAUACUAGCAGAGAGACUUGUAAAAAUUCUUCUAACAAAUGUAAGCAAUAGAUGUCAUUAUUAAAAUGGCAUUUAUCUGGGUCUUAUUUGGCUUCCAAAAGCCUCCCUUUUUAAUCCUACAUUAGUCUAAGGUUUUGAAACAAUAAAUGUAAGUAUGUAUACAUAUUGUGUAUUUGAUGACUCUAAAAAUAUAUAUAUGGCCA